rnacentral:rRNA from 1 species
GACGAACGCUGGCGGCGUGCUUAACACAUGCAAGUCAGGGGUGGGCAAGCCACUCACCGGCGAACGGGUGCGUAACACGUGAGCGACCUGCCUUCGAGAGGGGGAUAGCCGGCCCAACGGCCGGGUAAUACCGCAUACGACUUUUGAGGGGCAUCCCUCGGGAGUGAAACCUUUCGGGCUCGGAGAGGGCUCGCGGCCUAUCAGCUAGUUGGCGGGGUAACGGCCCACCAAGGCGAUGACGGGUAGCUGGUCUGAGAGGAUGGCCAGCCACAUUGGGACUGAGAGACGGCCCAGACUCCUACGGGAGCCAGCAGUGGGGAAUCUUGCGCAAUGGCCGAAAGGCUGACGCAGCGACGCCGCGUGCGGGAUGACGGCCUUCGGGUUGUAAACCGCUGUUGCCCGGGACGAACAGCCCGUUUCGACGGGCCUGACGGUACCGGGGUUGAGGAAGCACCGGCUAACUCUGUGCCAGCAGCCGCGGUAAUACAGAGGGUGCGAGCGUUGUCCGGAAUCACUGGGCGUAAAGGGCGCGUAGGCGGCCGCUUAAGCGUGUGGUGAAAGCGCGGGGCUCAACCCCGCGUCGGCCAUGCGAACUGGGGGCUGGGCAGCACAAGAGAGGCAGGCGGAAUUCCGGGUGUAGCGGUGGAAUGCGUAGAGAUCCGGAAGAACACCGGUGGCGAAGGCGGCCUGCUGGCUUGUGGCUGACGCUGAGGCGCGACAGCGUGGGG